AUGGGGCUGGGAAUUAGCGCUCGGAGACGGGAGCUGUGCAAAGCGGAAGUGGGGCCACAUGUCCAGGGCUCACUUGACCAUGGCGUGGACAGCCAGGGGUGGCCCACAGACCAUGGAGAAGUCCGGGUCAGCUGUGACAGCAAAGGCAACUCCCAACCUCUGAAGGUGUUCCCCAUACUCCCAGGAUGCAAAGCCCUAGAGGAAAAUGAACCUGUGGUCCUGGCCUGCUUGGUAAUAGGGUACUCCCCAGAGCCGGUGCAGAUCACCUGGCCCUCAAAGAUGCAGGAUCAGACCACAUGGACCUUCCAGUUCUUGAAGCAAGAACAAAGCUACAACAAGGUCUCCUUCCUGAAGACCCACUGGAAGCCUGGCCAGCACAGCUGCAGCGUCCACAACAAGGCCACCAAGACUGACAUGAAGAAGACCUUCCAGGAGCCAGCGUCUUGGGCAGCUCAGAAGCCCUCAACUUUACCUGUACCACGAGUGGCCUCCACCAACGCCCCCACCACUCUCAGGAACCCAGUGCCCUCCAUCCACAACAGCCAACCAGAAGCCCAGAAGCCCGGAAGCCGAGUGGAAGCCGCCAUCAAAGAGUGUCGGAACCACACCAACCCUCCCAGUGUCUUCCUGCUGCCCCCUCCCCUGAGGGGCCUGUGGCUCCAGGGCGAGGCCGCCUUCACCUGCCUGGCGGUAGGGGAUGACCUGCAGGAGGCCCACUUGUCCUGGGAGGUGGCUGGGGUGCCCCACAGCAGGGGCGUGGAGGACGGGCUGCUGGAGCAUCUCGCCAAUGGUUCCCAGAGCCGGAGCAGCCGCCUGGCCCUGCCCAGGUCCUCGUGGGCUGCAGGGAACUCCAUCAGCUGCAAUCUGAGCCACCCCGACCUGAAGUCCAGCAUGGCAGCAGUGUUGCUGAGAGAACAUGCCGCGUCGGCACCCAGCAGCCUCUUCAUCCGUGCCCUGACCACACCGGGCCUGCACGCCCCUGCCUCCUGGCUCCAGUGCAAGGUGUCCGGCUUCUCACCCCCGGACAUCCUCCUCACCUGGCUGGAGGGCCAGCACGAGGUGGACCCUUCUUGGUUUGCCACCGCACGCCCCAUGGCCCAGCCUGGAAACACCACGUUCCAGACCUGGAGCGUCCUGCGUGUCCCGACCACCCCGGACCCUCGGACGGCCACCUACACGUGUGUGGUCGGGCACGAGGCCUCCCGGAAGCUGCUCAGCGGCGCCUGGAGCCUGGACACUGGCGGUCUGGCCACAACCCCUCAGAGCAAGGAUGAGAACAGCGAUGACUAUGCAGACCUGGAGGACACCAGCAGCCUGUGGCUUACAUUCAUGGCCCUCUUCAUUGUCACCCUGCUGUACAGUGGCUUUGUCACCCUCAUCAAGGUGAAGUAGCCCCCGGAGAGUGGACAUCCUGCACCGCAGAGAAGGGAAGCUCAUCCUCCAUGCUGUCCAUCGCUGCCAGGGGCAGACUGCCCCCAGACCCCACCCUGUGUGGGGAGGCACUCCAGCCCCAUCUCUGCCCAGCCCCCAGCUCAUCUCUGUCCACUGCAGAGCCUAGCAUCCUGCCGGGAGAGAAGGUGCCAAGCGACAGGGAAGCAGGUCUCUCCCCAGCCUGGGCCUGCACUUCCCCCAGAGCCAGUGGUCCUGACUGCAGCCCCCUGGCCUUCCUGCCCCACUGACCAGCCCCAUAA